UGUAAACAGAGAACACACUUCGGCACAAACCAUCCCGAGAGAGGCGGCAAACCCGCUGACCUCAAAUCAAAUCCCAACUCGUUCCUCGGCCCAUACCCCUGGAUUUCCAAAGCUCUUCCCACAUUUGGGCCGCCGGCUUACAAAAAGGGUGGGAGCUGGGGGCGGGGCGCGCUGGUCUCCAGCCCCGCCGCCCCCGGCUCGGCUCCGCGCCGCAUCUCCGCGCUCGGGGCGUUGGAGAAAACGCAGGGCACAGGGCUGAGGCGGGGCGAGGGGGCGCCUGAGCGUUCCAGGGUGGGGGCGGGGGGCGGCGCUUUCCAGAAGCCAGCCGAACCUCCAAACCUACAGGGGUUUCCCUCAAGAACCGGUCCACCCACGCCCCCUAUAGGACUAGCGUUACCCAACCUCUCAGUUACAAGAUCCUGAAGGGAAGUAAAAGUCAACAUAAGAAAAAGAGGAAAUGCCACACGAUCUUUCAUAUUGGGAAAAAUUAAUAAAUGAAGGAAAAAUUAAUGAGGGUGAGUAAUACAUGAAAAGAACUUCAAAAGAAAGUGAUUUAAUAAUCAAAAGGCCUCUUGAUGAUCCCCUUAAAUAUUUUUGGGUGAAAGUGCUAUGAAAGUCAAUUAUGAAGGAUGGAGUCCCAUCCUAUGCUGCAAAAAGCAAUACUUGAUUUAUUCUUUAUUUGUUCUAUGACUUGACGCUUAGCUGAAAUUAUAACCUAAAUUUUAUUUAAUAUAUGCUAAAGUUUUUAUAUUUUUUGAUUUCAUGUUUUAAGAAUAUUUCCCAAUUAAUCCUUUUCUUACC
rnacentral:lncRNA from 1 species